rnacentral:lncRNA from 1 species
AAAGCAAAACAAUUACAUUUUUUCUUUUAGUUUUAUAAACUAAUGAAAUUAAUCUGUUCCAACUCAAUCAGUUGUUUCAUACUGGAAAAUGUCACACAUCGGGGCUUUUAGGAAGGAAUCAUUGCCGUGCCUUGGUGAAGGGUGAGUAUGGCUUUAACAACUGCUGGUGGAGGAGCCUUGGAGGAAAGAACAGGAUAGUAAAUGCAAUUGCUUGUCUCCUGAGAGUUAACUCACAGUCCAGAUGUCCUACCACCUAUCUACCUGUAGUCUGAAGGCACUUUGUGAGUAAUAAAAGCAUGUAAAUUGUAAAUUCUUCUCCUUUUCUCUUUCAAUAUCUUACAAUGUAUCAAUGACAAUUGCUAUUGUUAUUGGUAACAGGUUGAUGUCAUACCGAAGGCUUUGGAGCCAAAAAAGCUUGUGUUUGAACUCCGGCCCCACCAUUGUAUGGUCUUAGACAAAUGACUUAACCUCUUUAAGCCUUGAUGUCCAUACUGUAAAAAACGAGACAAUAAAACCUACUUAUUGUAAGGAUAUAAUGACAUUAUUAACAUAUCUAUUCUAUUGCCUGAUGCAUAGCAUAAGCUCAAAAAUACUAGUUUUCCUAUUCUAAAAUGUUUAAAAAAAAUUAUAAUCCAUACCUCUUCUACUUCAGAAAGUGUUUUAAUACAUAAAAGCAGUGAUUUAGCAAUAUCAAAUCGAAGUUUGAGAGCCAGAAGAACUUGGAGGACCAUUGAUUUUAAAGGUUUCUUUGUUUUUUAUGAACAACAGGAAUUUCCUCUUAUGUCUUCAGAACCUUGAGUUUACCAGGAAGACAAGGUGACUGAGAUACUUCUUUAAGCCCAGAAACUGAAGAAGGCAGCUGUCAGGGAUGGCUUGGAAUGUUCUACAAGGUUUAUAUCAACUGAGGGUUGAAAAAUCCUACUUAUCCACUCUCCUUACUUUAGAGAUGAGGAAUUUGAAUCUUAGAGAGUUUAUGACUUAUCCAAUUGGUGGUAUUACCGAAAACCAAAAGCCAGUUUGCUUCCUAGUUGAAUGUUCUUUCCAUCAUGCCAUGUGGAGUUAUUUUGAGUCAACCAGAAAAUCUGCAAGGACAUCAAAAUAAUGUUCUUUCUCCCUCUGACCUCAGUAAUAACCGGUUAAAGAUUUAGAAUGCUUUAGAGUAAAUCCUCAAAGCAGCUGCAGGUCCUCAAUGUUCCAGAAUAGAUAUUUUAAGUUCUCCAAAUAAAAAAUCCCAAUAAAGACCUUCUUUUUGCAGUAACUAAAAAAGUUUCCAGCUCUCCUGUCACAAAGUGGCUAUUGAGACUUCAAAUGUCAGAUGAUCUCCUUUGAAGCAGCAAAAUAGAGUGGAUAGAACUCCAGGAUGGAUGUCAAAAAACUCUGUGAUCCUAGUUCUAACUCAAAUUUACCUUUCAUAUGGUAUGAGGUUGGCAACAAAUGAUUCAUGGACCACCACUCAUCUAUAGACCAGACAUUAGUAAGAUGUGCUUGCUUCUCCUUCGCCUUUCACCAUGACUGUAAGUUUCCAGAGGCCUCCCAGUCAUGGUUCCUGUUAAGCUUGCAGAACGUGCACACAACCUGGAGCAAAGAGAUGUCAACGUAGACUUGAAAGCCUCAACAAACAUCUAUACAUUCAAAAUUCAGAGGAUAAUUGCAGACUUACAUGUUAAAUGAUGCCACAGGCUUGUGGUGAAUGUACAAAUCUAAUUCCCUAAACCUAUGAUACUACAGCUGACCCUUGAACAACAUGGGUUUGGACUACACGGUUCCAGCUAUACACGAUGUUUUUCAGCCAAACACAGAUCAAAAAUGCAGUAUUUGUGGGAUAUGGAACUUACCUAUAUGGAAGGCUGACUUUUCUUAUACUUUGGUUCCAUGGGGCUGACUGCAAGAUUUGAGUAUGCUUGUAUUUUGGUAUACUCAGGCCAGCGCCCUGGAAUCAAUUCCCUGCAUAUACCCAAGGAUGGUUGCAUUUAGAUAAUCGGAGCAUUACAAUGCCAUUUGUUAUGCAAAGAACAGCUUCUAUAAUUUGUGAAAUUUCAGUGAAAAAUAAAAUAUAAAGAUUUCACUCUAUUAAACUCUAUUAUUACUAAGAAAAUGAGAACUGAGUCUCAAAGGUAGUUAAUACAACGUAUUGAUCCAGCAGAAAUAGCUAUUCCUAUGAAUGCCAAAAUGAUUAGUCACUUUGUUAUUAAAUCAGCCUCACUGAUUAUUUUAGAUAUUAUAAACGGAAGUGAUUUUCAAUUUUCAACCCAACCAGAUGUUAUUGGCGUGCAUCAAACACAGAUAAGAGUGAAUCUACUCAGAAGAAAAUCAAGGAGAAUAUAGCUAAAAAUAUGCUAUGAGGCUAAUGUUCUGUUUAAAGAAAGGCUUAUUUGAUAUUUCUAUAGUGUUGAAUGACAUUUUCCGGAAAAAAAAUUG